rfam:Flavobacteria bacterium RIFCSPLOWO2_12_FTLL_31_7 rifcsplowo2_12_scaffold_5916, whole genome shotgun sequence.
AACUAUAUAAAUUUGUCUCCAUGAAAAAUAGAAUUCAAAAUACUUGGUGGUGGAAUAACUUGCAACUUACGUCGUGAGCAAAUCCUCUAUUGUAUUAAAAUAAUAUAUACUAAAAGGCUUGUC